CUGCCARUAGUCAUAUGCUUGCCUAAU
rnacentral:rRNA from 1 species